rnacentral:rRNA from 1 species
AGAAUCAACGCUGGCGGCGUGCCUAACACAUGCAAGUCGAACGAGAAAGUGGAGCAAUCCAUGAGUAAAGUGGCGCACGGGUGAGUAACACGUGACUAACCUACCCUUGAGUGGGGGAUAAACCUAGAGAAAUCUGGGCUAAUACCGCAUAAUACCUUCGGGUCAAAGGAGCAAUUCGCUUAAGGAGGGGUCGCGGCCGAUUAGUUAGUUGGCGGGUAAUGGCCCACCAAGACUGUGAUCGGUA